GGUUUCUCUGUGUAGCUUUGGAGCCUAUCCUGGCACUCACUCUGGAGACCAGGCUGGCCUCGAACUACAGAUCUGCCUGCCUCUGCCUCCCAAGUGCUGGGAUUAAAGGCGUGCACCACCAACGCCUG
rnacentral:miRNA from 1 species